CAAUUCUGAUGUAUGUGAUGGUGAUAAUCCUUGAAAUACAACGAUAGAUGAGUGUCCACGGCUCGCCUCACACGAUCUUCCUUAAAAUUAACGAUGUCGAAUACACCCUGUCAAUAACAAAUAUUAGAAAAAUACUAUGCAAAUUAAAAUGUUCAUAAUAUAAUUUAUUUUACCUGUAAGUGAGUGUAGAAAAUAUCUCUCUGAACGGUAGAAUGUGACGCCA
rnacentral:lncRNA from 1 species